UUCAAGACUCAUUCCCAGAUAUCUGAUCCG
rnacentral:piRNA from 1 species